rnacentral:hammerhead_ribozyme from 1 species
AUUCGGCUGACGAGUCCCAAAUAGGAUGAAACUCACGUCGUGGAU